rnacentral:ncRNA from 1 species
UGGUUUUCCUAUUGUCAUUCGGCAAGGGAAAUAAAAGGGAAUCAGGUGCAAAUCCUGAACAGGCCCCGCUGCUGUGAACCUCAAUAGAGUUUCAGGGCAAUACUCCUGCCACUGUCUUCAUUUAACAAGACGGGAAGGCGCCCGAAACGAAGUAAGUCAGAAGACCUGCCGUACAAGC